GACAGAGGGGGCAAGCGUUGCUCGGAAUUACUGGGCGUAAAGGGCGCGUAGGCGGGAUGGUAAGUCGGUCGUGAAAUCCCUCGGCUCAACCGAGGAACGUCGAUCGAUACUGCCGUUCUUGAGGAUUGCAGAGGAGACUGGAAUUCCCGGUGUAGCGGUGAAAUGUGUAGAGAUCGGGAGGAACACCAGUGGCGAAGGCGACUUCCUGGCCUGUUCUUGACGCUGAGGCGCGAAAGCUAGGGGAGCAAACGGG
rnacentral:rRNA from 1 species